rnacentral:ncRNA from 1 species
AUGGCCUAGUCCUGACCUUACUCUCUGUCUAACCAAGCUUAUACAUGCAAGUAUCCGCACCCCUGUGAAAAUGCCCUCAAAUCCCACCCGGAGACGAGGAGCGGGCAUCAGGCACACCCCUCCCCGGCCCAAGACGCCUUGCUUAGCCACACCCCUAAGGGAACUCAGCAGUAAUAAAUAUUAGGCAAUAAGUGUAAACUUGACCUAACUACGGUUAAUAGGGCCGGUAAAACUCGUGCCAGCCACCGCGGUCAUACGAGCGUUAGCCCAAGUGGACAGUUACCGGCGUAAAGCGUGGUUAAGGGCUCCUCCAACUAAAGCAGAACUGCCUCCGGGCUGUUAUACGCUCCCGACGGUAAGAAACCCCACCACGAAAGUGGCUUUAACCCGACCCGAACCCACGAAAGCUGGGGAACAAACUGGGAUUAGAUACCCCACUAUGCCCAGUCGUAAACAUAAAUAGGCAAACCACAACACCUAUUCGCCAGGGGACUACAAGCGUUAGCUUCAAACCCAAAGGACUUGGCGGUGCUUUAGACCCACCUAGGAGGAGCCUGUCCUAGAACCGAUAACCCCCGUUCAACCUCACCACUUCUCGCCUAGCCCGCCUAUAUACCGCCGUCGUCAGCUUACCCCGUGAGGGCUAUACAGUAAGCUAAAUUGGCACAGCCCAAAACGUCAGGUCGAGGUGUAGCGCACGAAGUGUGCAAGUGAUGGGCUACAUUUUCUGACCCAGAAAACUACGAAAGAAGAUAUGAAAAGAUACUGCCGAAGGAGGAUUUAGCAAAAUGGGGAGUAGAGCGCCCCAUUGAA